GCGGGGCUCCCACCGGCUCUCGGCUGCCCUUUCCUCCGCGGCCUCUGCCGAGGCUGCUGUGUCCUGCGGAGCUCCGAGCACGUGCCGUGCCCAGCUGCCAGUCUGAGACGAUGUCUGCCCUGGGUGGUCUUCACCAGGCUAAAAGAAGGAAUGAUCCACAACAGGGUGCACUGUGGUUCUAGAUCUGAAUGAGAUCGCGUUCAUCAGGACUUCAGGUUUCUGACAACACUGUGUUUUGAGUAAUGUAUAUGGUCUCUGUAAUGUAGAGGUACUUCAGUUCAGAUGGGGAAAGUUGAGUUUGCUUUAGAGGAUUGCAGAACUGUGAUGUAAUUCCAGAGAAUGCUUGUAACGUCCAGCUACGCUUUGGCAGAUGAGGCAGUGAAGGAGCUCACCCAUGGCCACUGACCUGCAUCUCCAGCUAUAAUUUUUAGAGGGACUAGAUGGUGUCUGUGGACUACAUGUGGCCGGCUACUUGCUAAUUAAAAAGGGAUUUCAGACAUCUAUUUGGAUGGUAGCCAUCUUAGGACAGCUUAGAAUGUUCCAGGAAGUUUAGGAUAUUGCUUUUUAAAAGCAAAGUUUUAUAUAAAGGUUCCUAUAAUGGCCCAGAUAGUAAAUGUUAAUACUGUCUUUGGUUUUGCAACUAUGUUGCUUUUGUCUGAAAAGUAAUGAAUGUAUCAUCAAAUAAAAGAACAUGGUUAUAUUCCAAUAAAACAUAACUGAUGAACACUGA